CAAUAGCGUAUAUUAAUGCUGCUGCGGUUGAAACGCUCGUAGUUGGACUUUGGGGCGUGAGUGACACUUGGCCUUCGGGCUUUAGGGUUACACGUGCUCUUAUGCCGUGAUCAGCCUCUUCGGGGGCGGUUUCGGCCGGUUACUUUGAAGAAAUUAGAGUGUUCAAAGCAGGCCAACGCCUUGAAUACGACAGCAUGGAAUGACAAAAUAUGACUUUGGUCUUGUUUUGUAGGUUUCCGGGACUAGAGUAAUGAUUAAUAGGGACAGUUGGGGGCAUUCAUAUUUGGAUGUCAGAGGUGAAAUUCUUGGAUUAUCCAAAGAUGAACUACUGCGAAAGCAUUUGCCAAGGAUGUUUUCAUUAA
rnacentral:rRNA from 1 species